GCCUGGGUGGCUCAAUCAGUUAAGCAUUUGACUUUGGCUCAGGUCGUGAUCUCACAGUGCGUGAGUUCGAGUCCCACAUCAGGCU
rnacentral:tRNA from 1 species